rnacentral:misc_RNA from 1 species
UCACUAAUCAAGCCUGGCUUGCUGUUGGACUUCUUGUCGUUAAAAACCGACAGGCCCUAAAGAUAAUGACGGCGUUACUUGGACCCUAGAUGCAACGAGCUUUCAUUAGCACGCGUUUAGUCGGACCUUUUAACCCGGUCUUUUUUAACCCAAUUUUUCUAA